CCUACGGGGGGCAGCAGUGAGGAGUAUUGGUCAAUGGGCGCGAGCCUGAACCAGCCAAGUCGCGUGAGGGAGGACGGUCCUACGGGUUGUAAACCUCUUUUGCCGGGGAGCAACGGGCGCCACGUGUGGCGUCACUGAGAGUACCCGGAGAAAAAGCAUCGGCUAACUCCGUGCCAGCAGCCGCGGUAAUACGGAGGAUGCGAGCGUUAUCCGGAUUUAUUGGGUUUAAGGGGUGCGUAGGCGGAUCGUUAAGUCAGUGGUCAAAUUGAGGGGCUCAACCCCUUCCCGCCAUUGAAACUGGCGUUCUUGAGUGGGAGAGAAGUAUGCGGAAUGCGUGGUGUAGCGGUGAAAUGCAUAGAUAUCGCGCAGAACCCCGAUUGCGAAGGCAGCAUGCCGGCUUCCGACUGACGCUGAGGCACGAAAGCGUGGGGAUCGAACAGGAUUAGAUACCCGAGUAGUC
rnacentral:rRNA from 1 species